AUUGAACGCUGGCGGCAUGCCUUACACAUGCAAGUCGAACGGCAGCACGGGGGUUUGCACCGGUUGCCGAGUGGCGAACGGGGGAGUAAUACAUCGGAACAUGUCCUGUAGUGGGGGAAGGCCCGGCGAAAGCCGGAUUAAUACCGCAAACGAUCAACGGUGAAAAGCGGGGGCCCUUCGGGCCUCGCGCUUUGGGGUUGGCGGAUGGCUGAUUAGCUAGUUGGUGGGGUAAAGGCCUACCAAGGCGACGAUCAGUAGCUGGUCUGAGAGGACGACCAGCCACACUGGGACUGAGACACGGCCCAGACUCCUACGGGAGGCAGCAGUGGGGAAUUUUGGACAAUGGGCGAAAGCCUGAUCCAGCAAUGCCGCGUGUGUGAAGAAGGCCUUCGGGUUGUAAAGCACUUUUGUCCGGAAAGAAAUCCUUGGCCCUAAUACGGUCGGGGGAUGACGGUACCGGAAGAAUAAGCACCGGCUAACUACGUG
rnacentral:rRNA from 1 species